rnacentral:rRNA from 1 species
UACGUAGGGUGCGAGCGUUAAUCGGAAUUACUGGGCGUAAAGCGUGCGCAGGCGGCUUCGCAAGUCAGGCGUGAAAUCCCCGGGCUUAACCUGGGAAUGGCGUCUGAAACUACGGGGCUGGAGUGUGGCAGAGGGAGGUAGAAUUCCACGUGUAGCGGUGAAAUGCGUAGAUAUGUGGAGGAAUACCGAUGGCGAAGGCAGCCUCCUGGGCCAACACUGACGCUGAGGAGCGAAAGCCAGGGGAGCAAACGGG